rnacentral:rRNA from 1 species
UACCCUGGUAGUCCACGCCGUAAACGAUGUCUACUAGCCGUAGGGGAACUUGAUUCUUUUGUGGCGCAGCUAACGCACUAAGUAGACCGCCUGGGGAGUACGGCCGCAAGGUUAAAACUCAAAUGAAUUGACGGGGGCCCGCACAAGCGGUGGAGCAUGUGGUUUAAUUCGAUGCAACGCGAAGAACCUUACCAGGCCUUGACAUCCCCGGAACUUUCUAGAGAUAGAUUGGUGCCUUCGGGAACCGGGUGACAGGUGCUGCAUGGCUGUCGUCAGCUCGUGUCGUGAGAUGUUGGGUUAAGUCCCGUAACGAGCGCAACCCCUGUCCUUAGUUGCCAGCGAGUAAAGUCGGGAACUCUAAGGAGACUGACGGUGACAAACCGUAGGAAGGUGGGGACGACGUCAAGUCAUCAUGGCCCUUACGGCCUGGGCUACACACGUGCUACAAUGGGCGGUACAGAGGGCGGCGAACCAGCGAUGGUGAGCGAAUCCCUUAAAACCGUUCGUAGUCCGGAUUGAAGUCUGCAACUCGACUUCAUGAAGUCGGAAUCGCUAGUAAUCGCGAAUCAGAAUGUCGCGGUGAAUACGUUCCCGGGCCUUGUACACACCGCCCGUCACACCAUGGGAGUGGGUUGCUCCAGAAGUGGUUAGCCUAACCU